UACGUAGGGGGCAAGCGUUGUCCGGAAUCAUUGGGCGUAAAGAGCGCGUAGGCGGUCUGUUGCGUCCGCUGUGAAAACUCGGGGCUUAACCCCGAGCCUGCAGUGGAUACGGGCAGACUAGAGGUAGGUAGGGGAGAAUGGAAUUCCCGGUGUAGCGGUGAAAUGCGCAGAUAUCGGGAGGAACACCGGUGGCGAAGGCGGUUCUCUGGGCCUUACCUGACGCUGAGGAGCGAAAGCGUGGGGAGCGAACAGG
rnacentral:rRNA from 1 species